rnacentral:rRNA from 1 species
UACAGAGGUCUCAAGCGUUGUUCGGAUUCAUUGGGCGUAAAGGGUGCGUAGGCGGCUCGGUAAGUCGGGUGUGAAAUCUUGGAGCUUAACUCCGAAACUGCAUUCGAUACUGCCGUGCUUGAGGACUGGAGAGGAGACUGGAAUUUACGGUGUAGCGGUGAAAUGCGUAGAUAUCGUAAGGAAGACCAGUGGCGAAGGCGGGUCUCUGGACAGUUCCUGACGCUGAGACACGAAGGCCAGGGGAGCAAACGGG